rnacentral:rRNA from 1 species
UGCGUAGGCGGAUUAAUAAGUCAGUGGUGAAAUCUUUCGGCUCAACCGAGAAACUGCCAUUGAUACUGUUAAUCUUGAGUUCGGUUGAGGUAGGCGGAAUGUGUAAUGUAGCGGUGAAAUGCUUAGAUAUUACACAGAACACCAAUUGCGUAGGCAGCUUACUAGACCGACACUGACGCUGAGGCACGAAAGCGUGGGGAGCGAACAGGAUUAGAUACCCUGGAAGUCCC